AUUUUUCACAAUGGGGGAAACCCUGAUGGAGCGACGCCGCGUGGGGGAUGAAUGGCUUCGGCCCGUAAACCCCUGUCAUUUGCGAACAAACCUGGUGGCUGAACAAGCUGCCAGCUGAUAGUAGCAGAAGAGGAAGGGACGGCUAACUCUGUGCCAGCAGCCGCGGUAAUACAGAGGUCCCAAGCGUUGUUCGGAUUCACUGGGCGUAAAAGGGUGCGUAGGCGGUGGGGUAAGUUUGAGGUGAAAUCUCCGGGCUCAACCCGGAAAUUGCCUUGAAGACUAUCCUGCUAGAGGAUCGGAGGGGAGACUGGAAUUCUCGGUGUAGCAGUGAAAUGCGUAGAUAUCGAGAGGAACACCGAUGGCGAAGGCAGCCCCCUGGGCCGAUACUGACGCUCAUGCACGAAAGCGUGGGGAGCAAACAGGAUUAGAUACCCUGGUAGUCCACGCCCUAAACGAUGUCAACUAGGUGUUGGGUGGGUAAAACCAGUUUAGUACCGGAGCUAACGCGUGAAGUUGACCGCCUGGGGAGUACGGCCGCAAGGUU
rnacentral:rRNA from 1 species